UUACGUUAUCAAAAUCCAAGAUGGCAGCUGUCAGGAUGAGGAAUGUACCUUUACAGUGGAAAGGAAAUUUUGCAAAUGAAGAAAACUUAAAAAAUAUGUUGAGACAUUUGAAUUAUAAAUGUUUUAUGUCAAUAAAGAACUUUGCCUAGUGUGGUAUAUACAAUUCCUGGUUUAUGCUGAGCUUGCAGAUAUUCCAUAAAAUGGUAGAAAAUAUCAAUUUUUUAUGAAUUACUUAAAAAUGAACACUGUGUGUUAUACAUGCUGUGGAUUUUAUGGGCCUUGUUUUGGUCAACCUGUAUGUAGCACCUGUCAUGCCUUUCUAUUUCCUGAGGAUAUCAAUCAUCCUGAUGGUACUUUAUUUCAAGAGGUAAUUUAAAUAUUUAUAAUAUAGAAGCAGAUUCUAGACUUUGACAAGAUGUGAUAAGUAUAUAUUUGUAAAAAUUUAGAGGAAAAAAUAUUCAAAUAAGAAUUCCAAACAUAAAUUUGCAUACAUUAAUCCUUAGUUAGGUCCAUUUGAUCCAAUAUGUAAAUUUAAAAUAUUUUAUGAAAUACAUGUCACUCCAGCAUAAGCAUUUGUGAUUUUUCAGCUUCAUGAUUUAUUAUACAUACAUCCACAUUUUAAAUGUACUAUAAACAAGUGAAUUUUAUGUAAAAAGAGUAAUAACACUAUAUACUUAUCAGGGCACAUGGACUCAUCACAUUGGACAUAUAUAAACUGGUCUUAUAUAAGAAUCUGCAAGUCUGAACAUAUAUAAAUUUUAACAAAUAUAUAAGUACAGUGUGUGUCUUAUUUUGUAAAGGUACUCCUCACUUUACGACCAAGUUCUGUUCCAACGACUACAUCAUUAAGUGAAUUGGUUGAUAAGUGAGGAGCUUGUGUCGGGAAUAUAGGAUCGUUUUAAAAUUAUAUUAUAAAAAUUAUGCAACAAACUUCAAAUCUGUUCAUAAAAAGACAUGCACAUGUACAUAUUGUCAUUUGUUUAUUUGGUUAUCUGGAGAUGUAGAGGGUCCAGG